rnacentral:rRNA from 1 species
AAUCCGGUUGAUCCUGCCGGACCUGACUGCUAUCGGAUUGAUACUAAGCCAUGCGAGUCAUUGUAGUAAUACAAGGCAGACGGCUCAGUAACGCGUAGUCAACCUAACCUAUGGACGGGAAUAACCUCGGGAAACUGAGUAUAAUGCCCGAUAGAACAUUAUGCCUGGAAUGGUUUAUGUUCCAAAUGAUUUAUCGCCGUAGGAUGGGACUGCGGCCUAUCAGUUUGUUGGUGAGGUAAUGGCCCACCAAGACUAUUACAGGUACGGGCUCUGAGAGGAGUGGCCCGGAGAUGGGUACUGAGACACGGACCCAGGCCCUAUGGGGCGCAGCAGGCGAGAAAACUUUGCAAUGUGCGAAAGCACGACAAGGUUAAUCCGAGUGGUUUCUGCUAAAGGAACCUUUUGUCGGUCCUAGAAACACCGAUGAAUAAGGGGUGGGCAAGUUCUGGUGUCAGCCGCCGCGGUAAAACCAGCACCUCAAGUGGUCAGGAUGAUUAUUGGGCCUAAAGCAUCCGUAGCCGGCUUUGUUAGUUUUCGGUUAAAUCUGUACGCUUAACGUACAGGCUGCCGGGAAUACUGCAGAGCUAGGGAGUGGGAGAGGUAGACGGUACUCGGUAGGAAGGGGUAAAAUCCUUUGAUCUAUUGAUGACCACCUGUGGCGAAGGCGGUCUACCAGAACACGUCC